rnacentral:rRNA from 14 species
AGAAACGGAUGACUUGGUACAGAUUGCGAUGAAAAACGAAGGA